UGAGGAAUAUAGAGGAAUCUACCUAACAGUAUGGAAUAACCCUGGGAAACCAGAGCUAAUGCCAUAUAUUACCGUCAAGGGAAACCUUGUCGGGAAAGAUUUAUCGCUGUUAGAUGAGCCUCUAUCGGAUUAGCUUGUUGGUGGGGUAAUGGCCUACCAAGGCAAUGAUCGUAGCUGGUCUGAGAGGAUGAUCAGCCACACUGGAACUGAGACACGGUCCAGACUCC
rnacentral:rRNA from 1 species